UGAAGAUGUUUAAGGCCUUGACAUGUAAAGUGUUUGACUGGACUUUCUCUCCAUUCUGCAAAGCAUCCAGGGACAUGCUGCUGUAUAAAUGGAUUCAUAAAAGUCUCGUGAGCAAGGAGGGUCAACCUUACUACACUUUAGAAUCAAUUCUGGCUCCACAAAAGCAAGCAAUGAAGACUGUAUCCCCAAAGGACUGCCUUACACUUGCACACCACUAAAAGCAGGCUUGCAAAUUCAUACCCCUUGGACGGCUCACUGGAGCUGGAGGGCUCACAUCCUGGAAAAU